AACAUAUUGUACAUCCACGCAUUAUUUUUUCUAUUUAUUUCACAUCUUUUCCAAAUACGGCUUGAAAUGUUUAAAUUUUACGUAUUUUAUUAAUUCCAUUUGAAUUUGAAUAUGAAUAUGAAGAAACGCAUAUUGCAAGCAAUGCGGACACUAUGGACCUAAGGUCUGCGAGUGAAACGACUAGCAACAGAGGCUGCUAGUCGUGUGUUCUAAAAGGUUGGGUAUGUCUCUUGGAAAAGCUUGGAAGUGUCUCUGACUUCAGAAAGCAACAAUUUACUCAGCUCAUGCUGCGGUAUAAACCCUAAAAAUUAACUUUAAUUGCAUCUUACCUUUCUUCAAGAAAGGAUCUACAAGUUUCCAUUUCCAAGAUUGGAGAUCAACCAAUUGGCAAAUUCUUACUUACGAUCCGACCAACCCUAAUGUACAUAUAAAGCUACAAUUGUGAAUAGUAAAGAGAAGCAAGAAAACAGUGCAACAGCCAAGCAGACCAAAAACAUAAGAGAGCGCAACAAUUUCAACUUAAACUCAAUACUCAAGAAAUAUUGAAAUAAAAAACCAAACAAAUGGUAAAUCGACUAAAAGAAUCGAAGCCGAAACAAAAAGAAAAAGUCGUUACAAUUCAAAGUAAGCCAAAAAAAACAUAAGCAUCUGGGGUCUAUCAAUGGAAGGGGAAGAGAGCUAGCCCAUAAUGAUCUCAGAUACAAUGUGAAGAUACUUUACCGCAAGUGUUCCUGCAGUACUACUCUAGAUUUGUUUGGGGUGUUUUUGUUGUUAUUUAUUUUGGAAGAAGUAUUUAAUAAAUAAGCAAAAUAAUCGUGCGAGUGUGUGUGUGUGUGUAGCGAAUGACACGAAUGUAGCAAAUGUGUGGUUUGGUGGUUCAAUUCGAUCAAUAGAUCGAUAGUUAGAUCGUCCAUGGAGCACCAUGAUAGAGAAGAACACACAUAAACAUAAGAGGCAUUGAACGACAUACGCCGGCGACAUGGAGACAUUAAAAGGUUGAAUGGCGGUGGAGGUUUAUGAUUACAUCAUUAUACAUUAACAACAGCAACAACAAGAACAACAAUCAUGGCAACAGCAACAAUGACAAAGUCAACAAACAAAUUGUUGAAUCAAUGGGUGGAUGGAUGCAAAGAUGGCCGAAUAUUCGUUCAGUUGUCGUUUUGAAGUCAUGAUUUGGAUGAGGAUGAUAGUAGAUCGAUGGUGUGUGGUGGUGCAAAGUGAUGUGAGGUGCAGAUGAUGGGUGGCAAAGACAAAAAUUAUGGAUUUCAUUGAAUUUGUUUUGUUACACAAUCGCCAGAAAGCACGUAGUAGCCCAUUGUAAUACACGUCGCGGCAUGGGUGGGUGAUGAGCAUCCAAUGUUUUUAGUGUGAAGUUUGUUUGUUUUUUUUUGCGUCGUCAUGGCAUGACGGUGAUAAUGAUGCGUGUGAUAUGAAUACAAUAUCAGAUCAGAUGAGAUCAAUUCAUUAUAACGAAGAUUAUGAUGGUGGCGAUGACGAUGAUAAUGACCAUAACGAUGACAAUGGUGUUAACGAUUGAUGAGACGUCAAUUAUACAUAUGGACAGUUAUGGGUUAAGUAGCGAUUAUGACAAUAGCGACAAUGAGGCGAUAUAGGAUGGGGGUAGACAAAGAGGAAGAGACAGAGAAAGAAAGAAAUGCACACAAAAAAUCGGGUUAAAUAUCAAUGAUCAAGAAAUACUGGGGCUCGUAUGUGGC